AUUCUUCUCUCUGCUUCUAUAUAUACAUAUUACUUACUUUUCCCUUCUUCUCACUCACCAACAAUCGUCUUCUUCCUUCGGUUCAUCUCCACUCUAUAAUUGUAUGGUUUGGUUCCAUAACAGAUGGAACUGAUGACACUUUCCCCAAAUGAUCGACGCUGAUUAUACUAUGCUGGUGUGUGUUUAUCACGCUUUUGUCUGAUCCAUCUUUAUUUACCUAGAUUGCAUUGCUUUUUUCUUUUUCCUUCUCUAUUUACAAUCUUUUUACUAAUAAUUGGAGUUAGCUUAAGAUGUGUCUUUGUAUUGAGUUGGAACGAAGUUGGAUGUGAUGAUACUUUCCCCAAAUGAUCGACGCUGAUUAUACUAUGCUGGUGUGUGUUUAUCACGCUUUUGUCUGAUCCACCUUUCUUUACCUAGAUUGAAUUGGUUUUUUUUCUCCACUUACAGUUUUUUUUACUGAUAAUUGGAGUUAGCUUAAGAUGUGUUUUUGUAUUGAGUUGGAAUGAAGUUGGAUGUGAUGAUACUUUCCCCAAAUGAUCGACGCUGAUUACACUAUGCUGGUGUUUUUAUCACAUUCUGUCUGAUCCAUCUUCUUCCACUUGAUUUUUCUUAUUUUUCUUCAUUUGAAUAAUGAAUUUUUGCCUUGAAAUAUAUCUAAAUUUUUUUCCAAGUAAAUGGCUUGAAAUUCUAGCAUUUAAUUGUUUUUAGUAAAAUGUUCGCUCUGAAGAUGGAAGUGACGAUACUUUCCCCAAACGAUCGACGCUGAGUUUACUUUGCUGGUGUUUCCAACACUUUUUAUCUGAUCCAUCUUACGGCACAGAACGAUUUCUCUUACAUUUGUUUUUCUUUUUUAAUGUUUUAAUUUAAUGAUUAGUACUUUGUUUGUUGGAUUAUAAACUCUGUAUGAUGGUUAGCAAGUUUGAAAGGAUUACUUAAGUGUGUCCUUUUAGUUAUGUUCUAGAAUCAGUAUGAUAUAUGAUCUUUUGAAGUUUGACGGACUGGGUUUCUUUUCCCAAGAGCUCAUGAGCAGUUCUGAUUAUCUUUUAAUGAACUGAUAUAGAGCAACUGAGAAACAACUCAAUUAUUUUUACCUUAGGAUCAAGAUAUUUUGCACCAGAGAAGUUUAGACAAUACCAAGUCAUUAGUAAAGAUUUUGGCUUUUAAAACAUCGUUUGAUUGACCUAAUAUGGGCCUAUUUUGAUGCACAUCCUAAUGGCGGGUAGAGGCAUGGCAUGUAUUUAAACGACAAUGUAUGCCGGUAGGCUGUGUUCUUCGAAGGAACAAUCCUUGAAGCUUUUUAUACAAGUUGAUUGUCCGAGGAUUAGGUGCGGAAAGAUGUAGGGGCUCCAAUAUAUGAUUACCACCGUUGUAAGCAAUGCACUUGAUGAAUGGUCAAUCAGUGCUUAUAAUAUAUGAUUACAGUGGUGAACUAGGCAUGCAUGUACAAAAUGAAGAAUCAUUUAAACCGAAGCCAGUUGAACUCUGGUUCCGAAUGGCUGUACAUACUUUGCUAAUACUAACUACAAAUACUUGAAAUGGUGAUCGGUAAACAACAGUUUCAUAGUAAGGAUUUGUGAAAGAGAAAAUGAGAGUCAGUGAGCGAAGCAUUCACGGACUGUGGAUGGAAAGUGAUUGACGUAGAAAUUUUAAGUUUGAUUUGCCUUCUGAGAAUAUUGUUUUAGCUCAAAAAUUUAUUCAUCCUUAAUCAAUGCUAGGGAUUGUAUUGUUCAAUAUUUAUUCAUUUUGUAUAUUUAGGGGUUGUAUUGUUCAAUAUUUAUUCAUUUUGUAUA